CCUACGGGGGGCAGCAGUGGGGAAUAUUGGGCAAUGGGCGCAAGCCUGACCCAGCAACGCCGCGUGAAGGAAGAAGGCUUUCGGGUUGUAAACUUCUUUUCUGAGGGACGAAGAAAGUGACGGUACCUCAGGAAUAAGCCACGGCUAACUACGUGCCAGCAGCCGCGGGAAUACGUAGGUGGCAAGCGUUAUCCGGAUGUAUUGGGUGUAAAGGGCGUGUAGGCGGGAAAGCAAGUCAGAUGUGAAAACUCAGGGCUCAACCUUGAGCCUGCAUUUGAAACUGUUUUUCUGGAGUGCCGGAGAGGCAACCGGAAUUCCGGGUGUAGCGGUGAAAUGCGUAGAUAUACGGAGGAACACCAGUGGCGAAGGCGGAUUGCUGGACAGUAACUGACGCUGAGGCGCGAAAGCGUGGGGAGCAAACAGGAUUAGAUACCCUAGUAGUC
rnacentral:rRNA from 1 species